rnacentral:misc_RNA from 1 species
CAGAGUUCAUGCCCUCACGGGUAGAUCUCCCACCCUUGUGUAUUCAUACCUUUGUUGCUUUGGCAGGCCGCUGGGCUUCGGCCUGGCCACCGGCUCCCGGGCUGGUGCGCGCCUGCCAGGGGACCUCUAAACUCUGUUUGUCAGUGUCGUCUGAGUAUUAUACAAUCGUUA